rnacentral:tRNA from 1 species
GGUGGCUCAGUGGUAGAGUGCUUUCCUUGCAUGUAUGAGGCCCUGGGUUCGAAUCCUCAGCACCA